AAUCAACGCUGGCGGCGUGCCUAACACAUGCAAGUUGAGCGCUUGAGGGGGGCAACCCCCAAGAGAGCAGCGAACGGGUGAGUAACGCGUGGGUGAUCUUCCUUCGAGUGGGGAACAACAUCGGGAAACUGGUGCUAAUUCCGCAUAAUAUCCCGGGGCUACGAGCCUCAGGAUCAAAGCCGGGGACCGCAAGGCCUGGCGCUUGAAGAUGAGCCCGCGUCCGAUUAGCUAGUUGGCGGGGUAAUGGCCCACCAAGGCUUCGAUCGGUAGCCGGCCUGAGAGGGCGGACGGCCACACUGGAACUGAGACACGGUCCAGACUCCUACGGGAGGCAGCAGUGGGGAAUUUUUCGCAAUGGGCGCAAGCCUGACGAAGCAACGCCGCGUGGAGGAUGAAGGUCUUCGGAUUGUAAACUCCUGUCGACCGGGACGAAUGCACUCGACCUAAUACGUCGGAAUGUUGACGGUACCGGUGGAGGAAGCCACGGCUAACUCUGUG
rnacentral:rRNA from 1 species